rnacentral:rRNA from 1 species
GAGUUUGAUCAUGGCUCAGGAUGAACGCUAGCUACAGGCCUAACACAUGCAAGUCGAGGGGAAACGGGAAAGCAGCUUGCUGCUUUCUGUCGUCGACCGGCGCACGGGUGUGUAACGCGUAUCCAACCUUCCCAUAACUAAGGGAUACCCCGUAGAAAUGCGGCCUAAUACCUUAUGUACUCCCAUGACGGCAUCAGAAUGGGAGCAAAGAAUUUCGGUUAUGGAUGGGGAUGCGUCUGAUUAGCUUGCUGGCGGGGUAACGGCCCACCAGGGCAUCGAUCAGUAGGGGUUCUGAGAGGAAGGUCCCCCACAUUGGAACUGAGACACGGUCCAAACUCCUACGGGAGGCAGCAGUGAGGAAUAUUGGUCAAUGGGCGUAAGCCUGAACCAGCCAAGUAGCGUGCAGGAUGACGGCCCUAUGGGUUGUAAACUGCUUUUACAGGGGAAUAAAGUGAUUUACGUGUGUUUCAUUGCAUGUACCCUGCGAAUAAGGACCGGCUAAUUCCGUGCCAGCCGCCGCAGU